GAGAUCUGUCUGCAUAAGUUCUAUUGUUGCGAGAGUCAGAUCACUUUCAGGAAAGUCUAAUCCAACGCCACAAGGAUCCAUGGGCUGGGAGAAGAAACUGUGGAGACUUCUCACCUGGAGCUUUGGGAGAAGCCAAUAAGAAAACUACGAGCUCCUUUUCUCCUCCAGAGAAGAUCAAGAUGAUCCUCCCAUCUCAGGAUCCACUAGAGGUGUCCUUCAGGAGUUCCGCAGGUUGCCUUGGUUUCCUAGAGGAGCUGUCCUGCAAGACUCCUCAGAGGCACAUCCCCAAAGAGAGAGCUUUCUAAUUCUGUAGUAGUAAUGAAAGAAAACAAAAGAAUCCCAGAGCUGCUGGAGCUACAAACUGCAGCGUGACGGUGUGAGUUACCAUGUUGUGUCUUGUGGCUGCCUCUCGCUGUGCCCUGUCCUGUGGCCCACGUGCUGAGGGACAGAGAAGCAAUGUCUAAGAGUCAUUCAGAGUGACACGUGGGCAGAUGAGAUCUAAACAAACCGAAUGGAUGUAGGAAGCCAGUUGUAUCCAACAGCACUGCCAGGAG
ensembl:lncRNA